rnacentral:lncRNA from 1 species
AAGAAACAGGCACGUGGCGAACGGAUGACAUCGUUUCUUCAACAUCACCGGGCAUGUCACUCCAUCGUCGCGGUUCAACGGUGCUGGCUCCUAGUAUCGUCGCUGUACAACCUGCGGAUCACAAACGGUCAAAACAUCGAUCUUUAGAUCUGAUCUGAAACACUGAUCAUGAUCACAAAGUCAAGACAAGAACAAGAAUUUAUAGUACGGACCAGUCGUAGACGGUAGGAGAGUUUGCGUGAGAGGGCUUGUCGAAGAGAUCAGUGCCCAUUCCUUUAGUGGCUGUGUUACUUCCUGGAUUAAAUACACUCCUCCACACGUUAUCCUUACGCGCCGAUACCGGCGUCGUCGGAG